rnacentral:misc_RNA from 1 species
CGUAUUCCUUUUUCCAUUGUUUCCAUAUUAUUAUCAUUAAACUUUGGUUAAGAUAACAAAAAGAAAACAUUUAUUAUCUAUUUCUCAUCAAUCGAGAACACAUUCGUGGUUGAGAACCCUUUAACGCCAUUUUAAAGUAACAAGAAAGUUAUCAAAAAAACGCAAAGAAACAAAACAAAAGAAGAGGAAGAAGUUAGAUCGACACGCCGGUCUCUACAAACUAAACUUGCACGUUCUUCUUGUGAUUUUUCUUCUUUUCCUAUAGUCAAUCCACUAAAGGAAAGGGAAAAAAAAGUGAUAUUAAACUCGAUCGAAAGAUUUUCUUUGUCGAAACACUACAGCACGUAUAAGAUUUGGUUGAAACUACGAUGGGCGUAGAAAACAAGAUGUCAGGAAAAAAUCUCGAAAUGAGGGAAACAGCUGCACGUAUCUGUCGAGAUUAUCUUCAUGGUGUUUGGAAGCGUGUUACUGCGGAGAAUAUUACCCUAAAACGUAUCAGCGGUGGCCUGAGUAAUUGGCUUUACAAUGUUCAGCUGCCAGACGGUGCUGUACCAAUACGCGGAGAACCGCGGCAAGUUUUAUUACGAUUGUACGGUCAAGUACACGGGGAAAGGGCGUUGGAGGGACUUAUCACCGAAUCCGUCAUCUUCACGCUACUUUCAGAGAGGCGACUUGGCCCCAAAUUGCACGGCAUAUUUCCCGGUGGACGUAUCGAAGAAUACAUACCGGCAAGACCUUUGUUAACCAAAGAAUUGUCCGAUCCAACAUUGAGCACGAUGAUAGGUGAAAAAAUGGGACAGAUACACAUGAUGCAAGUACCGAUUAGUAAAGAACCUACUUGGUUAUGGGAUACCAUGACCAAGUGGCUUGCCACAGCAACAGAUAUUUUAGAAACUGUUGAUGAAGUAGAUCCGCGUCAACACGAAAACGUUUACACUCUUAGAUCGAUCGAUCUCGAGAAGGAAAUCAAUUGGUUCAGGGACCUUGUCGCUCGAGAAAAAUAUCCAGUAGUAUUUUGUCACAACGAUAUGCAAGAGGGUAAUAUCCUUCUACGACAAAACUCCCGGAAAACCGAGUUAGUUGUUAUCGACUUUGAAUAUUGUUCCUACAACUACAGAGGCUUCGAUAUCGCGAAUCAUUUCAUCGAAUGGCAGUACGAUUACACGGAAGGGAAUUAUCCAUUCUUCCACGAAAGAACUGGUUCUGGGCCGUCUAAAGAGCAGAAGUUUCACAGGACUCCAAUUGACGGAUUGAGAGACAGGAUCGAUGCACGCUAUCAGGAUAAAUUGGGCGGCAUAUGAAUCUUGCCACUGCGACGUAUCCCGACUCGUACUCUCCAAGUUAUGGAACCAGAACCACCUGUGUGCCAUCUACCCCAUGGCGAAACAGCACACCCUCCCACAUCUGCUCGUCUACGAACCUAGACUCAAUUUUAUCAAGAGUUACUUGAGAACAGUCCA